GCGAGGGUGGCUGAGCGGCCAAAGGCGGCGGGCUUAAGACCCGCUCCCGAAGGGGUCCAGGGGUUCGAAUCCCCUCCCUCGCA
rfam:Halorhabdus tiamatea SARL4B complete genome